rnacentral:pre_miRNA from 1 species
UAGUUUGUCUAUGACGGAUCCCUAUCUAAUUAUUGUAGAUCCUCAUCUAAAUGCUUGAAACCUUUAGUAUUCACAAGCUUGGCUACAUCACUAAAGAAGAGGCUUAAGUUCCAAGGUGGGGGUUUCUAUCAUAGAAGAUAAA